ensembl:snoRNA SNORA72 Small nucleolar RNA SNORA72
CUGCCUGUCAAACAAACAAAAAAAAAAUCGCUAUAUCAAGACCAUGCAUGUGUCCCCAGGCCUAGUUCUUUCCCUAUGUCUGGUUUUAUAAAUGCUGGCAAUAAAA